rnacentral:rRNA from 1 species
GAUGAACGCUGGCGGCGUGCCUAAUACAUGCAAGUCGAGCGAACAGAUGAGGAGCUUGCUCCUCUGACGUUAGCGGCGGACGGGUGAGUAACACGUGGAUAACCUACCUAUAAGACUGGGAUAACUUCGGGAAACCGGAGCUAAUACCGGAUAAUAUAUUGAACCGCAUGGUUCAUUAGUGAAAGACGGUUUUGCUGUCACUUAUAGAUGGAUCCGCGCCGCAUUAGCUAGUUGGUAAGGUAACGGCUUACCAAGGCAACGAUGCGUAGCCGACCUGAUAGGGUGAUCGGCCACACUGGAACUGAGACACGGUACAGACUCCUACGGGAGGCAGCAGUAGGGAAUCUUCCGCAAUGGGCGAAAGCCUGACGGAGCAACGCCGCGUGAGUGAUGAAGGUCUUCGGAUCGUAAAACUCUGUUAUUAGGGAAGAACAAAUGUGUAAGUAACUAUGCACGUCUUGACGGUACCUAAUCAGAAAGCCACGGCUAACUACGUG